GUGGGGAAUAUUGGGCAAUGGGCGCAAGCCUGACCCAGCAACGCCGCGUGAGGGAAGAAGGUUUUCGGAUUGUAAACCUCUGUCGCAAGGGACGAAGAAGUGACGGUACCUUGUGAGGAAGCCCCGGCUAACUACGUGCCAGCAGCCGCGGUACUACGUAGGGGGCGAGCGUUGUCCGGAAUUACUGGGCGUAAAGGGUGCGUAGGCGGUUGCUUAAGUUGGAUGUGAAAUACCCGGGCUGAACUUGGGGGGUGCAUUCAAAACUGGGCAACUAGAGUUCAGGAGAGGGAAGCGGAAUUCCUAGUGGAGCGGUGAAAUGCGUAGAUAUUAGGAGGAACACCAGUGGCGAAGGCGGCUUUCUGGACUGACACUGACGCUGAGGCACGAAAGCGUGGGGAGCAAACAGGAUUAGAAACCCUGGUAGUCC
rnacentral:rRNA from 1 species